AACGCACAUUGCGCCCUCUGGUAUUCCGGAGGGCAUGCCUGUUCGAGCCUCAAUGAAACCGCUCCCCUCCUGGCGCUUCUCGGAGCAAAACGGCGGGGGUUCUGGCGGACGCGAACGCCGUCAAUGGCUUCUUGCGCCGCUCAAAUCGACGGUCUGCAGGCCCCGAGGGCGCACCCGACGUAGUGAUAACAUUUCUCGUCGACGGUGACCCCGAUGCUCCUGAGACCCUAAGCGUUUCGGCGCCAAACCCAAUCGGUUGAGCUCGGAUCAGGUAGGGAUACCCGCUGAACUUAA
rnacentral:misc_RNA from 1 species